GACGAACGCUGGCGGCGUGCUUAACACAUGCAAGUCGAACGGAAAGGCCCUGCUUUUGUGGGGUGCUCGAGUGGCGAACGGGUGAGUAACACGUGAGUAACCUGCCCUUGACUUUGGGAUAACUUCAGGAAACUGGGGCUAAUACCGGAUAGGAUCUCCUGCUGCAUGGUGGGGGUUGGAAAGUUUCGGCGGUUGGGGAUGGACUCGCGGCUUAUCAGCUUGUUGGUGUGGUAGUGGCUUACCAAGGCUUUGACGGGUAGCCGGCCUGAGAGGGUGACCGGCCACAUUGGGACUGAGAUACGGCCCAGAAUCCUACGGGAGGCAGCAGUGGGGAAUAUUGCACAAUGGGCGGAAGCCUGAUGCAGCAACGCCGCGUGCGGGAUGACGGGCUUCGGGUUGUAAACCGCUGUCGCCUGUGACGAAGCGUGAGUGACGGUAAUGGGUAAAGAAGCACCGGCUAACUACGUG
rnacentral:rRNA from 1 species